GCUUUAUUAAGUUUUAAAUUACAGAUAAAACCUGUAUAAAGAUUUACAUGAGAAAAAGAGACAAUUCACAAAAGUAGCAUUAUUUUUACUUUCUGUCUUUGUAGAGGUAUAUUUGGCUGUUCUGUGAGACCUUC
rnacentral:snoRNA from 1 species